rnacentral:rRNA from 1 species
CCUACGGGAGGCAGCAGUGGGGAAUUUUGGACAAUGGACGCAAGUCUGAUCCAGCAAUGCCGCGUGCAGGACGAAGGCCUUCGGGUUGUAAACUGCUUUUGUACGGAACGAAACGGUCUGCUUUAAUACAGUGGGCUAAUGACGGUACCGUAAGAAUAAGCACCGGCUAACUACGUGCCAGCAGCCGCGGUAAUACGUAGGGUGCGAGCGUUAAUCGGAAUUACUGGGCGUAAAGCGUGCGCAGGCGGUUAUAUAAGUCAGAUGUGAAAUCCCCGGGCUCAACCUGGGACCUGCAUUUGAGACUGUAUAGCUAGAGUACGGUAGAGGGGGAUGGAAUUCCGCGUGUAGCAGUGAAAUGCGUAGAUAUGCGGAGGAACACCGAUGGCGAAGGCAAUCCCCUGGACCUGUACUGACGCUCAUGCACGAAAGCUGGGGAGCAAACAGGAUUAGAUACCCUGGUAGUCCAGCCCUAAACGAUGUCACUGGUUGUUCGGUCUUCACUGACUCUAGUAACGAACGACGUACGUACGUGAAGUUAGACCGACCGUCGGGAGGUACGGCCGCGAGUAGAACGUUAAAGUAAAGUAGUACGGACGUGAGACGUAGCGACGGACGACGACGAGGGAGGAGG